rnacentral:rRNA from 1 species
AGAGUUUGAUCCUGGCUCAGGGGUAGGCUGGCGGCGCGCCUAACACAUGCAAGUCGAACGGGGCAUAAUUUAGAUUUCUUCGGAAUGAUAGGUUAUAGCCUAGUGGCGGACGGGUGAGUAACACGUGAGCAAUCUGCCUUACAGAUGGGGAUAACGGCCAGAAAUGGGUGCUAAUACCCAAUGACAUAUGGUAUUCGCAUGAAUGGCAUAUUAAAGGAAUUCGCAAGAAUUUUGCUGUGAGAUGAGCUCGCGGUCGAUUAUGAUAGUUGGUGAGGUAAUGGCUCACCAAGUCUACGAUCGAUAGCCGAACUGAGAGGUUGAUCGGCCACAUUGGGACUGAGACACGGCCCAGACUCCUACGGGAGGCAGCAGUGAGGGAUAUUGCACAAUGGGGGAAACCCUGAUGCAGCGACGUCGCGUGAGGGAAGAAGGUUUUUGGAUUGUAAACCUCUGUCUUUGGAGAAGAUUAUGACGGUAUCCAAGGAGGAAGCUCCGGCUAACUACGUGCCAGCAGCCGCGGUAAUACGUAGGGAGCGAGCGUUGUCCGGAAUUACUGGGUAUAAAGGGAGCGUAGGCGGGUUUGUAAGUUGAAUGUGAAAUCUAUGGGCUUAACUCAUAAACUGCGUUCAAAACUACAGAUCUUGAGUGGAGUAGAGGCAGGCGGAAUUCCUAGUGUAGCGGUGAAAUGCGUAGAUAUUAGGAGGAACACCAGUGGCGAAGGCGGCUUGCUGGGCUCUAACUGACGCUGAUGCUCGAAAGCAUGGGGAGCAAACAGGAUUAGAUACCCUGGUAGUCCAUGCCGUAAACGAUGAUUACUAGGUGUAGGCGUGUAAGCGUCUGUGCCGGAGUUAAUACAAUAAGUAAUCCACCUGGGGAGUACGACCGCAAGGUUAAAACUCAAAGGAAUUGACGGGGGCCCGCACAAGCAGUGGAGUAUGUGGUUUAAUUCGAUGCAACGCGAAGAACCUUACCAGGUUUUGACAUCCUGCUAACGAGAUAGAAAUAUGUUAGGUGCCUUUUUUAAGGAAAGCAGAGACAGGUGGUGCAUGGUUGUCGUCAGCUCGUGUCGUGAGAUGUUGGGUUAAGUCCGGGAACGAGAACAACAAAAUACUAAUAGUUGCUACGAAAGAGCACUUUAUUAGGACUGCCGUUGACAAAACGGAGGAAGGAGGGGAUGACGUCAAAUCAUCAUGCCCCUUAUAACCUGGGCUACACACGUACUACAAUGGUCGUUAACAAAGGGAAGCAAUAUCGCGAGGUGGAGCAAAUCCCAAAAAGCGGUCUCAGUUCGGAUUGUAGGCUGUAACUCGCCUACAUGAAGUAGGAAUUGCUAGUAAUCGCAGAUCAGAAUGCUGCGGUGAAUACGUUCCCGGGCCUUGUACACACCGCCCGUCACACCAUGAGAGUUGGCAAUACCCGAAGUCAGCAGUCUAACCGCAAGGAGGGCGCUGCCGAAGGUAGGGUUAAUGAUUGGGGUGAAGUCGUAACAAGGUAACC